ACCCCCAAACCCAGUGGCUUGUCGCAAUAAGUAUUUAUUUCUCAUUCACGUGCCUGUAAGUUGGCUGCAGUUCAGUGAUCUAGAAUGGGCUUGGCUGGACUUGCCUUAGCUGCAGGUUGGGUUUAGGUCUAUUUCAUUCGUCUGUCAUCCCUCUGGCAACUGUUGGCUACCAGAAAAAUGCAGGGGCAUGUUUUUCUCAUGGUGGAAGGUGGGAACACAAGUGUGGUAGCUCAACCAUGCCAGCAUAUAUCAGAUCUUUACUCGUGCCAUGUCUACUAACAUCCAUUGGCCAAAUCAAGUCCAAGGUCAAAAAGUGUACUGCGUCCACAAUGAAAGGCAUGGAUGCAUAAUGCUACCCAAGUGGAAUGAAGAAUUGGGACCAAGAAUUCAAUCUAUUACAAAUGGAUUCUCUGCCUCCAGUCUUGUCCCCCACAGAUUAAUCUUUCAAACUGCUUCCAGAGGAAUCUAUCCAGAUGGCAAUCUGACUUUGUAAUUUUCCUGUUUAAAACUGGUUUUUAUAAGUACAAGGAUAUAUUAAUAGGUCCUUCAUAAUUUGGCCACUGGCUGCCUCAUCAGUUUUACUUCUUGCCACCUCCACAUCACCGUCCACUCCCUGACUCCAUCUUUAAGAUUUGAUAAUACGAAGCUGCCAUGGUUUUCCUUUCAUGCCUUCGCUCAUACCAUUUCUUCUUGCCUCUCUGCCUCUGUUCAACAGGUUAAUGGACAUCUUGCCAUCAGCCGUUAGGGGAGGCAUCACCCCUAGCCUUUGCUUCUGAGCCCCUGUUAUGGACUGAAUAUUUAUCUUACCCUAAAAUUCAUGUGUUGAAAUCCAGCCCUCAAUGUGGUGGUAUUUGGAGGUGUGGCAUUGGUAAUCAGUUUAAGAGAGAGGAACUUAUCAGAUGAAACAGACUUCAAGACAAAAAGUAUUACCAGAGAUAAAGGAGGGACAUUUCAUAAUGACAAGAAGAUCAACUUGCCAGGAAAACAUAACAAUUGAAUCUUCCUAUGUGCUCCUGCGACAUCUCAACUUCUCUUAUUACUUCUGUGCUUGUUUACUGAUCUUCCUGACAAAUGGAGUCUUAAACAUGGGACCUUGUUUAUCUUCCUUACUCAGGUGCUGCUGGGACAGCACGCUUCUUCCAAGCCUGGGCCGUCGUGUGUUGUGGUGAAUGUCGGAGCAGAACCUCAGCUCUGUGCGGCAGUGGUCGGGGCUGGAGUGGAGUGCAGGUGCCCUACGAGGCGGGCCUAGCUCCACCAGCUACAGCACUGUGUGAUGCGAGGGAUGCGGCCAACCCUUGGACACGUGACAGGAGCACCAUCUGUACUCUGGGCGCUUCGAUUUCGCAGCUGCCACAGCCCACUCAGGCAGAUCUGACACAGCUUAGCGGAUAGCUUUUCCAGGAGGUUCAUAAAUUUCCAAUCUGCUGUGCUACGUUUUCCCCUACAACUAACCACCAACCAAAUGUUAGUUUGGAUUCAAGACCUGAAGGGUAAUCGGCAAACGCAUGGGCUCAUCCCAGAAUUGGAAAGGACGCUGGGGCUCAGAUGGCCCUCUGAAUGGACUGUUCCUGGAAGAGACAUAGACACACAUACACAUAUACACAUGUAAUUGUCAAAUCUUUGCUAGUGUGUCUGUCUUUACACACAGAUGUAUUCCCCAGACAUGGCAAGUAAAUUGAAUUUUUGUUAUUUUCAAUCUAAUAUUUCGUUCAAAAUUAAUGCAAUCUUCAAUGUUACUUUAAGGAAUUCUGCAACGACUAUUCCUUUUGCCAAAGUAAAAAUAAGACCCUCGAUUUGUCUUUUAUACAAAUUG